GAUGAACGCUGGCGGUAUGCUUAACACAUGCAAGUCGAACGGUCACUUCGGUGAUAGUGGCGGACGGGUGAGUAACGCGUGAGAAUCUGUCUUCAGGUCGGGGACAACAGUUAGAAAUGACUGCUAAUACCGGAUGUGCCUUUGGGUGAAAGAUUUAUUGCCUGAAAAAGAGCUCGCGUCAGAUUAGCUAGUAGGUGGUGUAAGAGACUACCUAGGCUCCGAUCUGUAGCUGGUCUGAGAGGACGAUCAGCCACACUGGAACUGAGACACGGUCCAGACUCCUACGGGAGGCAGCAGUGGGGAAUUUUCCGCAAUGGGCGAAAGCCUGACGGAGCAAUACCGCGUGAGGGACGAAGGCUUUUGAGUCGUAAACCUCUUUUCUCAAGGAAGAUGAUGACGGUACUUAAGGAAUAAGCAUCGGCUAACUCUGUG
rnacentral:rRNA from 1 species